UACGUAGGGGGCAAGCGUUGUCCGGAAUCAUUGGGCGUAAAGAGCGUGUAGGCGGCCCGGUAAGUCCGUUGUGAAAGUCCAGGGCUCAACCCUGGAAUGCCGAUGGAUACUGCCGGGCUAGAGUUCGGAAGAGGCGAGUGGAAUUCCAGGUGUAGCGGUGAAAUGCGUAGAUAUCUGGAGGAACACCGGUGGCGAAGGCGGCAUCCUGGACCGACACUGACGCUGAGACGCGAAAGCCAGGGAGCGAACGGG
rnacentral:rRNA from 1 species